rnacentral:misc_RNA from 1 species
UGUGGUGGGAAACCAGGGAAAGGUGUAGCAAGCUGGUUGAGGCGAAGAUGGAAUAGUAGUCCUGUGGUAGUAGUUGGAGCUGAGGAAGAGGAGUAUUGUUUAACAGCUGAUGACAUCGAUUCAAGUUUGGUUUUCAUGUACACACCGGUAACAGAACAAGGUUCUAAAGGAGAACCACAAUAUGCAAUGACCGACUUCAUAAAAGCAGCUGCACCAUCAGUCUCUAAUGUUCGG